rnacentral:rRNA from 1 species
UUGCCUGCACCUGCCGGCGACCGGCGCACGGGUGAGUAACACGUAUGGAACCUGCCCGCCACAGGGGGAUAACCCGGGGAAACCCGGCCUAAUACCCCAUGCCGCCCGGACCGGGCAUCCGGUCCGGGCGAAAGGAGGAAUCCGGUGGCGGCUGGGCAUGCGGCGCAUUAGCUUGACGGCGGGGUAACGGCCCACCGUGGCGACGAUGCGUAGGGGUUCUGAGAGGAAGGUCCCCCACACUGGUACUGAGACACGGACCAGACUCCUACGGGAGGCAGCAG